rnacentral:siRNA from 1 species
UAUGCGCAGAUGUCUGGUUGAGUG